rnacentral:lncRNA from 1 species
AAUUCAUCAUUUAUCAUGAUCCACAUGAACGAAAUUAAAAAUUAAGAUUUGAAAAAUGUGUCUGAUUAAUUUGCUAUACCUAGUACAAUGUAGCAUAAAAAUGUCAAUUUUUAUUGAAAGCUGGCUAAGCUUUGUCUCUUUAACUCUUUAUUCAAUGAUUUCAAAUUUGGUGAAGUGCAGAACAAUACAAGAUUUUAAUAGUGAUGGUUUCUCAUAAAAAAAAGGCCCAUUAAAUAGUUUAUUUUCACUUUGCAUGCAUUGUUCUUUAUAACCUAAUAAGUCUUCUUGUAUUUAAAAAAAUAUAGACAGUUUGGUACUCACAAACCAGUUUUACCCUGCUACAUGUUUGUGUUCCUGACCCAUAA